GUGGGGAAUAUUGGACAAUGGGGGGAACCCUGAUCCAGCCAUGCCGCGUGUGUGAAGAAGGCCUUUUGGUUGUAAAGCACUUUAAGUGGGGAGGAGGCUUACCUGGUUAAUACCUGGGCUAAGUGGACGUUACCCACAGAAUAAGCACCGGCUAACUCUGUGCCAGCAGCCGCGGUAAUACAGAGGGUGCAAGCGUUAAUCGGAUUUACUGGGCGUAAAGCGCGCGUAGGUGGUUAAUUAAGUCAAAUGUGAAAUCCCCGAGCGUAACUUGGGAAUUGCAUUCGAUACUGGUUGGCUAGAGUAUGGGAGAGGAUGGUAGAAUUCCAGGUGUAGCGGUGAAAUGCGUAGAGAUCUGGAGGAAUACCGAUGGCGAAGGCAGCCAUCUGGCCUAAUACUGACACUGAGGUGCGAAAGCAUGGGGAGCAAACAGGAUUAGAUACCCCUGUAGUCC
rnacentral:rRNA from 1 species